rnacentral:rRNA from 1 species
GAUGAACGCUAGCUACAGGCUUAACACAUGCAAGUCGAGGGGAAACGACAUCGAAAGCUUGCUUUUGAUGGGCGUCGACCGGCGCACGGGUGAGUAACGCGUAUCCAACCUGCCCAUCACUUGGGAAUAACCUUGCGAAAGUAAGACUAAUGCCCAAUGAUAUCCCACGAAGACAUCUGAAUGGGAUUAAAGAUUUAUCGGCGAUGGAUGGGGAUGCGUCUGAUUAGCUUGUUGGCGGGGUAACGGCCCACCAAGGAGACGAUCAGUAGGGGUUCUGAGAGGAAGGUCCCCCACAUUGGAACUGAGACACGGUCCAAACUCCUACGGGAGGCAGCAGUGAGGAAUAUUGGUCAAUGGGCGAGAGCCUGAACCAGCCAAGUAGCGUGCAGGAUGACGGCCCUAUGGGUUGUAAACUGCUUUUAUAAGGGAAUAAAGUGAGUCUCGUGAGACUUUUUGCAUGUACCUUAUGAAUAAGGACCGGCUAAUUCCGUGCCAGCAGCCGCCGUAA